UCGCAACCCCGACCCUCGAAAGGAGCCCGUCCUUACCUCCGCUCUGUGGUCCGCCGCGCGCUCUCACCCGUGCAAGAGAAUCCCGUCUCGCCCCAGUUGCCGGCCAGCGCGAGCUCUCACCCCCGCCCCCUCAGGCUGUGCAAAGCUCCACAUCCCAAUCUCCAGAGUCAGCCCCCGAGGUGGAAGCGUAAUUAUCUUCCUACUGUAAACUCAGCGUGCACUGGAAGAACCACAUCUGUGCUGAAGACCGUUCAGAAUGGCGGAUUGACUAGAACUUUGCCAUUAGGGAGAGAUGAAUGAUCGGUAGCCAAAAUUAUCUUGGUCUAUCUUUAGGCCCUUUAAAAACCACUUAUUACCAAUCUCUGUAGCUGACCUAGCAUCUCUGUGGCUGUUAUGUAAAACGUUUGGGACGUACUGUUAAACCUAGCCAACGACCAGCUUUUCAGCCAUGCUCAAACGAAAAAUACCUGCAGGAGAUUUUCCUGCUGUGCUGUGGUCUGCCCACAUGAUGUCCUUUACCUUAUAUGUAUUUGGCAAAUAGAUUGAUUUAUGGUCUUUUGUUCUACGGCUAUAGAACCUCAUGUAAAAAAUAAUAAUAAUAAACUUUCUCCUACUCCCA